rnacentral:lncRNA from 1 species
UUUAAUGGUGGAAAUUGGUGAAUCGUCAUUCGCCUACCUUCAAAUAUUGUAUAGCUUGGAUUACGGUAUCCCUCUUCCAAGUUUUUUAGUAUUGUGUUGGGUCCUAGCCUUAAUAUUACAUUUGGGUGUCUUAUUAAGGACUCUUUAUGUAAUCUAAAAUUAUCUUUCUUCUUUUCAGAUGUCUUCCAACAAUGCUUUUGGCUCAAACCCUAUCGGCUCCUUCUCUCAUGAAUCUUUGUGGGAGAGUCAUCUUUUAUGGUUCAAACUUUAAUGAUUGGAUCAGGAAGAUCAGGAUGGUCACACGUUAUGAGGACAAGGAAUAUGUCCUCGACAAUGAGCUGAAGGAAAUUGACGAGUCUUCUGCUACUCCACAGGAGAUCGCUGACUUUAGGACUCAUGAGAGAGAUGCCACCAAGGUGGCAUGUAUCAUGUUGGCCAUAAUGAUAGGCUGACAACUGAACUCCAAAAGUCCUACAAGGACUUUUAGACUUUUGAGAUGCACAUGGACAUGAUGGAUAGAUACCAUAAGAGUGCUCGUCAAGAGAGGUAUGAAAUCAUCUCUUCCAUGAUAACAACCCGAAUGAAGGAUGGUGAACCCAUCACGGGCCACAUGUAGAAAAUGCAAAGGUUUGUGGACCGUUUGCUAAAGUUGAAUGUGAACUUCCCUGAGGAGAUGGCUAUUGACAUCAUAUUGCACUCCUUACCUACUUGUUAUGAUCAGUUAUGAAUGACCUAUCAUAUGAACAAGGAGGAGGUCACACUCAGCAAGCUUCAAGGACUUUUGAAGACCGCCAAAAGUGGUCUCAAAGGUAAAUCGAUUGUUACCACUCCUACUCCUACCACCGCCUCUGUAUUGGCAAUCAGGCAAGGAAAAGGGAAAAAGAGGAAGACCCCUUCGAAGGGUACUAAGGGAAAGUCUUUUGAUGGCUCCUCUUCAAGUGAAACCAAAGGUGGUUCUGCCACUCCCUCUGCCAACCCUAAAGAAGUUGAAUGCUUCUAUUGUCAUGAUAAGGGGCACUGGAAGCAAAAUUGCCCAAAGUACUUGCAGGAUGUUAAGGAUGGGAAAGUAAAACCCACCCAUGUAGGUAUUUACUCUAUAUUUUCUAAUAACUCACCACAUUAAUUCUUGGGGUCCUUGAUACAGGGUGUGGAAUUCACAUUUGUUCUAAUUUGCAAGGCCUAAAAAGAAGUGAGGAUGUGGAGCACGGGAAGAUACACUUAAUCAUAGGGAAUAGGAAAGCUUCACCUGUCACCAAUAUUGGAGUUUAUUCUUUAUUUCUGAGUAGUGGGUUAAUGUUAGAUUUGAAUAAAUGUUGUUACUCGUCUGAAAUGGCGAGAAAUAUUAUUUAUUUUCUUGGUUUGUACAAACAAGGAUUUAGUUUUUCAUUUGAUAAUGAAUGUGGUGGUAUUAAUGCUUUUUAUAAUGGUGUUCUAAUUUUAAAUAAUUACCUUGUGACGGUGUAUAUGAAAUUGUGUCAGUUGUAGACAACUUAGGAAAUAAUGUAUUGCAUAUCGAUUCUUCCACUAGUUUGGAUAAGNGAGGAUGUGGAGCACGGGAAGAUAAACUUAAUCAUAGGGAAUAGGAAAGCUUCACCUGUCACCAAUAUUGGAGUUUAUUCUUUAUUUCUGAGUAGUGGGUUAAUGUUAGAUUUGAAUAAAUGUUGUUACUCGUCUGAAAUGGCGAGAAAUAUUAUUUAUUUUCUUGGUUUGUACAAACAAGGAUUUAGUUU